rnacentral:lncRNA from 1 species
GGUCUGCAGGACAGGGGUCCCAAGUGCAAGCAGCAGCCAUGCGCUCUGGGCCCUCGGCCCCACUCCGCCUCUUCCUCAGGGUGCUCGGGGCCUUCCUGCUCCUGGCCCCCUCCCUGCAGGCUCAGCAUACAAGGUGGGACAGCCCCGCCUGCACGGAGGGCGUGGUGUCCGUGUCCAGGGGCGGCCGGGCCGUGAUGGCCUGCAACAGCUCCAACGCCUUCACCCACAUCGAGAUCUGGCUGAGUGCCCACGGCCAGCCCAGGCUCAUCUUCAGAGAGGACACCCCGGGAAGCUUCUCCCGGGAAGGGUGGCAGCUGUGGGUUCGAGGGGGCCGGGCUGAGCUGGUCAUCCAGGCUGCCCAGGGCGCCCACGCAGGGCAGUACCGCUGGCAUCUUCGGGGACUGCAGAGAUAUGACAGAGUCACUGUGCUGACUGUCUCAGAGCCCCAGGGCCCGGAGGAGGAGCCAGGUCCAGUGCUGACCGUGUCUCCCCUGAGUGUUUCGCCCCUGCCGCCAGGCCUAUUGUCGCGAGUGAGCUAUGCCAGUGACGUAGACUGGAUGUGUUCGUGUCUUUCCAGCCCCAGCAGAAGCUGUGGAGUGGCUGAUGUCCCAAAGUCAGCUUUCAUUAUGGAAAAUUUCAGACAUCAGCACGGAUAGACAGAAGAGAACAAUAAACCAGAUUCACCCAUCACCUAGUUCCAGCUGCUAUCGAAAAGGGGCCUCUUCUGCCUGCUUCCUUCUUGCCCUUCCAGUGGGCUCGAUCAGAAAUUUUAUGACCUCCUCCUGGCACAUUCCUGGCUCUCACCCCACUUCCUGAAAUGUAGGGAGCACACCCUGGUUUCCUGGCCUCGCGUGCAGCGCGGAUGUGUGGGCGAUGCGUGUCCCUUUAUCCUUCCUGGGGUUCCUGAUUACAGAUAGCUCUCACAACUGGGCAGCUUUUAUGCAUCAGCAUCUCCUCCCCUCCCCACCGUGGAGAGGAGAAUUGACAGGUGAGCUGAAUGAUCUGCACACAGGACAGGUGGUGCUGAAAUCAGCCACCCUUUCCUAGUCAUCUGGGGCUGAGGCAUGAGCUCCCCCUCCCCCUGCAGGCCAGGUGUCCCAGGGCUGGACAUCUGGAGCCCAGCAUUUCCCCGGAAGCAAGGGACCAUGUGUGUGCACCAGGCUGCACCUGUCCUCAGAAGGCCCCACAAGGACACAAAGACACUUUUCCAUGUGACGUGCUGUUUUCACAAAGAGAAGGUAUUCUGGAGUUGGUUCUUAUGCAGUGCCACAAUGACCCUGGGCUCAGCAUGACACAACCAUGGUGCCGGGCCUGCUGGCUGCACCUCUAGCCUUCUUGGAUCUCCACCACCACGGAACACACGGUUUUCAGACCUGGACAGGCCACUCGGAAGCUCUGCAGGAUGAAGCAGCCCAGUGUGGGGCUGUUGGGGCCUCUGGACUCUGACCUGCCCUUGUCAGGCCGCAGGCUCAGCACAGCCCAGCUGGAGCCCAGGCAGGCGCGGCUUCUGUUCCUGUAGAUGCCGGCUCCGGGGACUCCAGCUCUCACCAAGGUCACUUGCCCUGCCAGCAGGGCAUUUGUGGAGGCCUCUGUGCCCAGACACUGGUCUACUGGUCUGUUUGGGGGAGGAGCUCAUUUGUCACAGCAGGAAGUGAAGCAGCCGUGGCCAUGGCUGAGGCCCUGGUGAUGGUGCUGUGCCCGGGACCCAUGUUAGCCCUGGCUGGCCUGACCCCCCUGAGCUGCCCCGAGUGACACCCUCCCGGCCCCUGGCUCGGCCCCCUCCUUGGGUAUCCUUGAUGGCUGCCUGGGGCUCAGCUCAACCUGGACGGCACAUGGCAGCCAGCAGCACGAGAAGGCAGUGGUGUGGCGACCCACUUCUUCGGCAGUGAGUGUGUUUCAGAAGCCAUGGAAACCACAGGCGAGCUGAGACGGGACUGUCCCGUCAUCCGUCCCCAAAGGCAGCCUAGGCAGCACCUGGUGCUCGGUCCUCUCAUCCUGAGGGCACAACGGCAGGCACCAGCGCUGCUGUUCACUGCCCUUCACCAGGCGUGUGCAGAGCAGCGGCCACACCAGCUGGGCCCUGGGGCCCGGCCGCUUCAGGAGCCUUGGAGGUUACGCUUGCCAGCAAGUGCACAUGUGUGCACACAUGUACACAUUGCACUCACGGGUACACCAGACACACACGUGUCCAUGUGUCACACACACAUGUGAGCAUAUCUGUGCACACAGGCACAUGCCACACGCACACAUCUGGGCACACACACACACACACACAGAGCACAGUCGUAGCUGGCCUCUAGGGCUGGGGCAGCUGGCCAGAGUGGACGGAGCAGAGGGAGUGUGCUGGGAACCUCUGUGGAAGGAGGCCUGGGCCCUGUAGAGGAUCUGACUUCCCAGGUCCCAAGCCGGGGCAGAGGAGGCUGGAGAGCGGGGGCUUCGGGAGAGGCUAGGGACCGGCUGUUGGUUCUCUGUGGACUCUUCCCAGGAGCGCGUCUGAGGGUGAGGCCCUGCUUUCUCCCUCGCAGGCCUGGAAGAUUUGAGGUGUGAUGCACGACCGUCCGCAUAGCCUGAAAUAGCCACCAGGGGGAGCCAUUGGCAAACAUUAAGUUGUGGCAGACCCUGCUCUCCCUAGCCGGGCCCCGAGAGCCAAGACAGGAGGUGCCUGCCCCGGGCUCCCGGUCCCACAGGCUUCCCUGACCAAAGGGUCUGUGGGCUGGGUCCUUCCUGCUCUCUGGGCCUCAUUUCCUCUGACUGUGGAUGUCGGACAGGGGUCCUGCGCCCCGGGCUGUCACAGCUACACUCUCCCGAGUGCAGCUCCUGCCCAGCUGUCUGCCCUGCGAGCGGAGGUUGCCUGCCACGCACGGGAGCAAGGUUCUGGCCAGCAAGCAGGGACGUGCCGAGCGGUCUGGGUGUCCUCGUGUGCCUGAUGGUGGCCCCUCCCUCCCCGCACAGGGCCAUGAUGUGAGGGCAGUGAGGACUCUGCCCGCCCUGAGCCAGGAUGGCUGUCACGGCCCAAGGCAGAGCCUCCUGGCUCGUGCUCUGCAUACAACUUUGGUUUUGUUCUUCAAGAUGAACACGUUAGACUGGAAUCAGUAUUAAAAGAUGUUUUUAACCCCCAAAAAUGUGUUAUGUAUGAUGUGCCGUUCUCACAUUCA